AAUAGAAUUGCUGGAUCCUAUGGUAAAUGUAUAUUUAACUUUAUAAGAAACUGCCAAACUAUCUUCCAAAGUGGCUCUCACCACUUUGCAUUCCUACCAGCAAU
rnacentral:pre_miRNA from 1 species